rfam:Desertifilum sp. IPPAS B-1220 NODE_52_length_36481_cov_35.3812, whole genome shotgun sequence.
GGGGCUGUAAUGGCUUCGACGUGCUAGUGAAAGCUGCACUGUGAUGCAGGUCGAGAGUGAGUCUCCUCUCGUAAAUCCAAGGCUCAAAAAAAAGUAACUGCGAACAACAUCGUUCCUUUCGCUCGUAAGGCUGCUCCUGUAGCUGCUUAAUAACCUCUAAUCGGUUCGAGCGUCUGUAGUCUGACUCCGUUAAGGAUUACGGACCAACCCCAACGGAUGCGCUAGUUAGAUGCCUCUGGUCAUCUGCCUAGCUAAGACCUUACCAGAGCAUCCCAUCGUCCGGGAUAAUGGACGAUCCCCGCUCUGAGGGUUAAAAGAGCUAAACCUGUGAACGAAUGGGAAGUCAAUAACUGGUGCGGACGGCAGUUCGAUUCUGCCCAGCUCCAUUU